rnacentral:rRNA from 1 species
UGGGGAAUUUUGGACAAUGGGCGAAAGCCUGAUCCAGCAAUGCCGCGUGUGUGAAGAAGGCCUUCGGGUUGUAAAGCACUUUUGUCCGGAAAGAAAUCCUUGGCUCUAAUACAGUCGGGGGAUGACGGUACCGGAAGAAUAAGCACCGGCUAACUACGUGCCAGCAGCCGCGGUAAUACGUAGGGUGCAAGCGUUAAUCGGAAUUACUGGGCGUAAAGCGUGCGCAGGCGGUUUGCUAAGACCGAUGUGAAAUCCCCGGGCUCAACCUGGGAACUGCAUUGGUGACUGGCAGGCUAGAGUAUGGCAGAGGGGGGUAGAAUUCCACGUGUAGCAGUGAAAUGCGUAGAGAUGUGGAGGAAUACCGAUGGCGAAGGCAGCCCCCUGGGCCAAUACUGACGCUCAUGCACGAAAGCGUGGGGAGCAAAACAGGAUUAGAUACCCUGGUAGUCCACGCCCUAAAACGAUGUCAACUAGUUGUUGGGGAUUCAUUUCCUUAGUAACGUAGCUAACGCGUGAAGUUGACCGCCUGGGGAGUACGGUCGCAAGAUUAAAACUCAAAGGAAUUGACGGGGUCAUAGCUGUUCCU